GCGCAAUGGGCGGAAGCCUGACGCAGCGACGCCGCGUGGGGGAUGACGGCCUUCGGGUUGUAAACCUCUUUCGUCAUCGACGAAGCCUUUCGGGGUGACGGUAGGUGGAGAAGAAGCACCGGCUAACUACGUGCCAGCAGCCGCGGUAACACGUAGGGUGCGAGCGUUGUCCGGAAUUAUUGGGCGUAAAGAGCUCGUAGGCGGUGUGUCGCGUCGGCCGUGAAAACCUGGGGCUUAACUCUGGGCGUGCGGUCGAUACGGGCAUCACUUGAGUUCGGCAGGGGAGACUGGAAUUCCUGGUGUAGCGGUGAAAUGCGCAGAUAUCAGGAGGAACACCGGUGGCGAAGGCGGGUCUCUGGGCCGAUACUGACGCUGAGGAGCGAAAGCGUGGGGAGCGAACAGGAUUAGAUACCCUGGUAGUCCACGCCGUAAACGUUGGGCGCUAGGUGUGGGGACCAUUCCACGGUUUCUGUGCCGCAGCUAACGCAUUAAGCGCCCCGCCUGGGGAGUACGGCCGCAAGGCU
rnacentral:rRNA from 1 species